CGGUUCUUCGCUGGGGAGUAGCCGGCUUUCCGUCUCGCGGAAAGCGCUCACGUCAACACACUCGGUCCAUCAGGCCGUGGCGUGAGCAGCCAUAACGGGUUGGCAAGACCAUCGAUGGAACGCGCCUGAAGGUCGGGAGGCGCCUUCCGUCGCAUCUUCUUGCCCGACCAG
rnacentral:sRNA from 2 species